rnacentral:rRNA from 1 species
CCCUUAGAUGUUCUGGGCCGCACGCGUGCUACACUGAGUGGAUCAGCGGGUCAGGUUGCGCGAAAGUGUUUCCUAAUCUUUAAAUCCGCUCGUGAUGGGGAUUGACGGUUGCAAUUUUCCGUCAUGAACGAGGAAUACCUUGUAAGCGCGGGUCAUCAUCCCGCGCUGAAUACGUCCCUGCCCAUUGUACACACCGCCCGUCGCUCCUACCGAUUGAGUGGUCCGGUGAGGCUUUGGGAUCUGAGCGGAAAGAGCGUUUCGCUGUUUCUGCCCGGAAAACUCAGUCGAACCUUAUCAUUUAGAGGAAGGAGAAGUCGUAACA